ensembl:lncRNA
UUCAUGAAUACUGUAUAUUUAUGUAUACAGUCUGAAAAUGUAUUACUGCCACUGAACACAGAUCAAAACAUUACAGUGAGGGAAAUAAUUAUUUGAUCCCCUGCUGAUUUUGUACAUUUGCCCACUGACAAAGAAAUGAUCAGUCUAUAAUUUUCAUGGUAGCUUUAUUUUAUCAGUGAGAGACAGGAUAACAGCACAAAAAUCCAGAAAGAUCCAUGUCAAAAUGUUUUAAAUUGAUUUGCAUAUUAAUGAGUGAAAUAAGUACUCGAUCCCUCUUCAAAACAUGACUUAGUACUUGGUGGCAAAACCCUUGUUGGCAGUCACAGAGGUCAGACGUUUCUUAUAGUUGGCCACCAGGUUUGUCCCUCUAAGGAGGGACUUUGUCCCACUCCUCUUUGCAGAUCUUCUCCAAGUCAUUAAGGUUUUGAGGCUGACGUUUGGUAACUCAAACUCUCAGCUCCCUCCACAGAUUUUCUAUGGGAUUAAGGUCUGGAGACUGGCUAGACCACUCCAGGAACUUAAUGUGCUUCUUCUGGAAUUUUGGCCGUGUGUUUAGGGUCAUUGCCACGCUAGAAUACCCAUCCACAACCCAUUUCAAUCCCCUCUAGAUUACUGUAGAUUGGUGGAUACUUUAGGUCUUUUAUAAGGUUUAUCAAUGGUAAAACGAACAAUGGGUUUAUACUUGUUUGGCAGACGCACUACAGUAGAACCACUUUAAUACUCAAGCUGGAGCAAGGAAGUAUGAAGUUUUGAUUGUGGGCACAACCAUAAACAAUACAAUAAAAAUAGCAUCUCAGUAAAGACAAACUGAUAUUAGGAGCACUCCCUUUAAGAGUGUGCUCCUGAUCUCAGCUCGUUACCUGUAUAAAAGACACCUGGGAGCCAGAAAUCUUUCUGACUGAGAGGGGAUCAAAUACUUAUUCAAAUCAAUUUAUACAAUUUUUGACAUGUUUUUCUUGAUUUUUUUUUUUGUCAUUCUGUCUCUCACUGUUCAAAUAAACCUACCAUAAAAAUGAUGGUCUGACCAUUUCUUUGUCAGUGGGCAAAAGUACAAAAUCAGCAGGAGAUCAAAUACUUUUUUCCCUCACUGUAGUUACGGUAUAGUAAUUGCUGGUGCUUGCUGCUGUUGCAUGUUAGUUGUAGCUGAUCAACUAUUGUGCAGCUGCCUGUCGUAACUGCAAGUCCACGGGGGUGUGAUCUGGUAGAAGUCUGACUUAUUGUGCUGGUCAUGUUACAAUACUUGUAAUUACACCCUGUGUUAUUCUUACGCCAUCUCCUGCCACUACUGGACGCAGAGAAGUGGUCAUCACAACGCACUGGUAGCAAGAUGGAAGAGAGUAUGUGCAGUCUGUGGCUGGUGCAGCGGGCCUCCAGCAGUCCCUCUUGAGAUGUGUGCAAA